AGAAUCAACGCUGGCGGCGUGCCUAACACAUGCAAGUCGAACGCAAAACCCCCGCAAGGGGGUCGAGAGUGGCAAACGGGUGAGUAACACGUGGGUGACCUGCCUCAGAGUGGGGGAUAACGACCCGAAAGGGUCGCUAAUACCGCAUAACAUCCUGCGUUUGGAAACGCGGAGAUCAAAGCCGGGGAUUCGCAAGAACCUGGCGCUUGGAGAGGGGCCCGCGGCCGAUUAGCUAGUUGGUGAGGUAACGGCUCACCAAGGCGACGAUCGGUAUCCGGCCUGAGAGGGCGGACGGACACACUGGGACUGAGACACGGCCCAGACUCCUACGGGAGGCAGCAGUGGGGAAUUGUUCGCAAUGGGCGCAAGCCUGACGACGCAACGCCGCGUGGAGGAUGAAGAAUUUCGGUUCGUAAACUCCUUUCGAUCGGGAAGAACGGCUUUCGGGUUAAUAACCCGGAAGAGUGACGGUACCGAGAGAAGAAGCCCGGCUAACUCCGUGCCAGCAGCCGCGGU
rnacentral:rRNA from 1 species